CCUGUUCUUUCUUUUUUCUUUUUUUUUUUCUUCUUCUUCCCGUACUUCCUCCUCCUCCUCCUUUUUAAGUUAUCAGUGCCACGCCCUUGAACCGUGCGCGGCCUCCGGCUUCCUCGCAAUCGACCGUGCUCCGCCGCCCGUUCCUUGACUCAUCGACCACGAGCCACCACUGCCCACCGACGCUCUCAACCGCCAGCUCUAGUUCUUUCCGUUUAAUCCAUUGAGUGAUGCAACAGUUUAUGGUACUUCUUUUGAUGGACCAAUCAGCUGUACUAACUAACUUAGAGACUGGAAUUUCACAAACACUGGCAAACCUUAAUCCCAAUGGGUGGCAGAUUUAUCUUCAUCGAGAGGCUGCAGGAAACAAUCCACUAAAAUCAUCAAGGGAGGAAGAAAAUGAUAGUUUUGUGUGAGAAAGGUGUGUACUUGGUACCAAUGAGAGAUAGUUAUAUUCCUAGACAAUACAUACUUGGUGCAACUGAUGGUGAUAGAUUUGAUGUUGCAUUUUUAUAUUUUGUAAUGUCGUCAACUGAUGACAAUAUAGAUUUUAUGUAUCAUUUUUACAUUUUGUAAUAUUAUUUUGCAAUUUUUUCUCGUAUCGUACAUAUUUUACGAUUCUGAUAUUGAUUAUUUUGUUAUUAGUGAAAAAUAAGAAUACUCU